UAUACAGUAAUUCUAUACAUAAAAAUAUUGAAAUUCACAUUUUUGCAUGUUAUGUUGAAAACUGUAUUAGAUAGAUAGAAACUUUAAAUAGCACAAAUGAUAAGCAAGACAAGAUCUACAAAUAAGCCAUUAUGGUGGUAAUGUUCAGUCAACUCGUUAUUGGAGUUAUUGUCCAUUAAUGAUAAUUUUUUACAUUUUAUUUGCAUUUUUUGUCUAUUGUCUUGAAAGCCUAUAAUAAAUAGCCAUUGUUGAAGAUGCAGGUGAGCGACACAGGCUCUUUAGAGCCUCUGAUUAUAUACAUGUGGAAAAUAAAUUAAGGAGAUGUGGUAUGAUAUCCAAUGAGAAAACUAUCAACAAAAAGACCAAAGGACAAGGAUAUAAACAACUACAGGUCACCCUUAUAGCUUUCACCAAUAGACAAGGAUGUAAACAACUACAGGUCACCCUUAUAGCUUUCAUCAAUAGACAAGGAUGUAAACAACUACAGGUCACCCUUAUAGCUUUCAUCAAUAGACAAGGAUGUAAACAACUACAGGUCACCCUAAUAGCUUUCACCAAUAGACAAGGAUGUAAACAACUACAGGUCACCCUUAUAGCUUUCACCAAUAGACAAGGAUGUAAACAACUACAGGUCACCCUUAUAGCUUUCACCAAUAGACAAGGAUGUAAACAACUACAGGUCACCCUUAUAGCUUUCAUCAAUAGACAAGGAUGUAAACAACUCAAGAAUGUAAACAACUACAGGUCACCCUUAUAGCUUUCACCAAUAGACAAGGAUGUAAACAACUACAGGUCACCCUUAUAGCUUUAACCAAUAGACAAGGAUGUAAACAACUACAGGUCACCCUUAUAGCUUUCACCAAUAGACAAGGAUGUAAACAACUACAGGUCACCCUUAUAGCUUUAACCAAUAGACAAGGAUGUAAACAACUACAUGUCACCCUUAUAGCUUUCACCAAUAGACAAGGAUGUAAACAACUACAUGUCACCCUUAUAGCUUUCACCAAUAGACAAAACCAAUACCAAAAGUUUACCUUAUGUGGAAAGUACUUAUAUUGGGUAUUUAUUUUCUUUUUGAAAACAUUCUUGUGUGGAAUUUGUUGUAUUUUACAUGCUGUAAAGUUGUAGUAAUAAGUUUAAUUUAAUCAAUUCUAUAAAAAAAUGUUUUUUUUCUUUCUGUUCUAAAUUUCAUGGAUGGGGAACCACAAAAUCCAUGAAAAUUGGUAUUCCUAGACAUGCUAGAAUGAUAAUACUGUCAACAGACAUGACUAUGUUUCUCACUCAGUACUUGAAAGUACAUUGUACAUUCAUGACAUUAUUAAACAU